GACGAACGCUGGCGGCGUGCUUAACACAUGCAAGUCGAACGGUAAGGCCCUUCGGGGUACACGAGUGGCGAACGGGUGAGUAACACGUGGGUGAUCUGCCCUGCACUUCGGGAUAAGCCUGGGAAACUGGGUCUAAUACCGGAUAGGACCCUGGGAUGCAUGUCCUGGGGGGGAAAGCUCUUGCGGUGUGGGAUGGGCCCGCGGCCUAUCAGCUUGUUGGUGGGGUGAUGGCCUACCAAGGCGACGACGGGUAGUCGGCCUGAGAGGGUGACCGGCCACACUGGGACUGAGAUACGGCCCAGACUCCUACGGGAGGCAGCAGUGGGGAAUAUUGCACAAUGGGCGCAAGCCUGAUGCAGCGACGCCGCGUGAGGGAUGACGGCCUUCGGGUUGUAAACCUCUUUCAGCACCGACGAAGCGCAAGUGACGGUAGGUGCAGAAGAAGGACCGGCCAACUACGUGCCAGCAGCCGCCGUAA
rnacentral:rRNA from 1 species